rnacentral:rRNA from 1 species
AAACUUUUAACAACGGAUCUCUUGGUUCUGGCAUCGAUGAAGAACGCAGCGAAACGCGAUAUGUAAUGUGAAUUGCAGAAUUCAGUGAAUCAUCGAAUCUUUGAACGCACAUUGCGCCCGCCAGCAUUCUGGCGGGCAUGCCUGUUCGAGCGUCAUUUCAACCCUCAAGCUCUGCUUGGUGUUGGGGCUCUAC